UACGUAGGGGCCGAGCGUUGUCCGGAUUCAUUGGGCGUAAAGAGCGUGUAGGCGGCCGCUUAAGUCCUGCGUGAAAUCUCGGAGCUCAACUCCGAGCGGUCGUGGGAAACUGGGCGGCUAGAGUGCGGGAGAGGAGAGUGGAAUUCCUGGUGUAGCGGUGGAAUGCGCAGAUAUCAGGAAGAACACCCGUGGCGAAGGCGGCUCUCUGUAACGCAACUGACGCUGAGGUGCGAAAGCCAGGGGAGCAAACGGG
rnacentral:rRNA from 1 species